GGCCCCGUAGCUUAAUAGCAUAAAGCAAGGCACUCCUAAGGCCGAGAAACAGGUUGGAAUCCUGUCGGGGUCA
rnacentral:tRNA from 1 species